GUUAAAAAUAAAAAACUAAAAAACAAGAAAAACAAUAAAAAUGGGUUAUCCAUUUCUCCCAACCCCAUUCCAUCCCUAUGAAAUCGACAACACCAUGUCGACCAUUGCCUACGCCAUCGUCGGCGAAGCCUCCCAACGACACCACCAGCAUCUUCUCCGCAUUUGAGGACAACGCUGUAUUAUUGCCUACAUCAUUUCGAUUACAGGAUCCCGAGUCGGAGAAUGACAGACAAGUAGCGAGUAACUUGUUGUGCUUCUGGCCAGCGAAAAGCUCCAUUUUUAGGCUUAGAAGGUAGCAAUGGUGUCCGCUUUGAAAUACAAAUCUUACGCCCGUCCGGCACUUUUUCACCCCCAAAUCAGUUUAUAGAGAAAAGGUAGGGUGGGGUUUUUGGUUUUGCGUGUAGGUUUGACGGUGUUGGAGGCGAUUGGUUUUGGUUUGAUGGUGAUGGCGACAACGGUUUACUAUCCAAUUUGUGUGAGAUGCGUUGUUGUGGCUGGCCAACUGGCGGUGGUGUCGACAUUGCUGGCUUUGAUAUUUCUGUGCCAUUAUUGGAAUUGUGCUUUCAAUCAAAGGCAAUUGAAUGGAUAUCUUUGUAGGGUUUGUUGAUUUCUUUCAAUUCUGUGUUCUAGUUUUUGCGAUGGAAAAUUCUACUUAUACAUAAUUAUUGCACAUAAUAGUGUCUAUAAUGUGAUGUGACAAUCAUCUGGUUGUUGACGUGCAGGUAUGAGAUUUGAGUUAAAUAUUAGAUCUAGUGCCACAUGUAAUUAUAGACACCAUUAUGUAAACAAUUAUAUACAUAUAACAUUUCCCUUUUGCGAUAGUAAAAUUCUAUUACGGUGGCGAUGGUGUUCUGUCGGAG
rnacentral:lncRNA from 1 species